rnacentral:lncRNA from 1 species
ACAAGUGAUUGUGAGAUCAAUCACCCUCUACAUUGAGCAUACAUAAGAUGUGCCAGUCUUUCCGGUAAUAUUGAUCCCCAACUCAAUAUACCAAUUUGACUGGAAAUAUUCUAAAUUAGGAUUUUAGGAUUUUAGGUCUCAUUGAUAUGAUCUCAUCAUAACCCUAAAACCAAUGGCCUAAUUUAUGGGGUUCAUCAUCCAAUAAUAAAAUAGAUAAGCAGCAAAUGAUGAAACACAAUGCCUUUAUUGAUAUAUAUCGAGUGUCAAAGUACAUGAUUUGGAGGAUUACAAAGAGAAACCCAUCAAAUGAUUGGCUUAUAGGGCAUCUACUCUUU